CUCGGGCAAAAAUACCUGUGGAUGUGGGCCAGAGCCCUGGCCUAUGGGGAUCCCAGUCUUAGUUAAAGUUCAGGUUGUGGCUGUGUCGGUCGGUAACUCUGCUGGCCGCCUGGAGACAAAUUCCAGAGCAUUCGUAGUGACCCAGUUUGGAGGGUGUAUGGGGUUCGCUGGAGGCUUAGACAAGUUAGGCACGUCCAGGGGAGGUCUAGAUGCCUCAGGGCCUCUGUUGCCUCCUGCAGGGACCAAAAGAUGAGAGUAGUGUCGCCUUUGGUGACCUGCAGGGUGUGCACAGGGCCCCAGC